rnacentral:rRNA from 1 species
GACGAACGCUGGCGGCGUGCCUAAUACAUGCAAGUAGAACGCUGAAGGAGGAGCUUGCUUCUCUGGAUGAGUUGCGAACGGGUGAGUAACGCGUAGGUAACCUGCCUGGUAGCGGGGGAUAACUAUUGGAAACGAUAGCUAAUACCGCAUAAGAGUAGAUGUUGCAUGACAUUUGCUUAAAAGGUGCAAUUGCAUCACUACCAGAUGGACCUGCGUUGGAUUAGCUAGUUGGUGGGGUAACGGCUCACCAAGGCGAGGAUACAUAGCCGACCGGAGAGGGGGAGUGGCCACACUGGGACUGUGACCCGGCCCAGACUGCUUCGGGAGGGAGCCGUAGGGCAUCUUCGGCAAUGGGCGGAAGUCUGACCGAGCAACGCCGCGGGAGUGAGGAAGGUUGUCGGAUCGUAAAGCACUGUUGUAAGGGAAUAACGAGUGUGCGAGUGGAAAGUUCACACUGUGACGGUAACUUACCAGAAAGGGACGGCUAACUACGUG